GAAUGAUGGCUGGCGAGGUUGUUCGAGGUCAUUUCAUGAUGAGGAUGGACCAGACUUUAAGACAUUCUGAGCUCCAUGAAUGACAUGAGACACUCCAGGAGACGGUGGUUGCAAUGCAAUAUCAACACCCCGCAACCCCAACCCUCCAAUGGAACCCAGAACCCUCCGGAGUUCCUCAGGACCUGUCGGCAUGAGUGAGGCGAACACAUCGAACGUUGGGGGUAGAGUUGCAGUGACUACUUG